rnacentral:rRNA from 1 species
UACGGAGGAUGCAAGCGUUAUCCGGAAUGAUUGGGCGUAAAGCGUCCGCAGGUGGCUGUGUAAGUCUGCUGUCAAAGAGCGAAGCUCAACUUCGUAAAGGCAGUGGAAACUACACGGCUAGAGUGCGUUCGGGGCAGAGGGAAUUCCUGGUGUAGCGGUGAAAUGCGUAGAGAUCAGGAAGAACAUCGGUUGCGAAGGCGCUCUGCUGGACCAUAACUGACACUCAGGGACGAAAGCUAGGGGAGCGAAUGGG